rnacentral:rRNA from 1 species
CCUACGGGAGGCAGCAGUCGAGAAUCAUUCACAAUGGGGGAAACCCUGAUGGUGCGACGCCGCGUGGGGGAAUGAAGGUCUUCGGAUUGUAAACCCCUGUCAUGUGGGAGCAAAUUAAAAAGAUAGUACCACAAGAGGAAGAGACGGCUAACUCUGUGCCAGCAGCCGCGGUAAUACAGAGGGCUCAAGCGUUGUUCGGAAUCACUGGGCGUAAGGCGUGCGUAGGCUGUUUCGUAAGUCGUGUGUGAAAGGCGCGGGCUCAACCCGCGGACGGCACAUGAUACUGCGAGACUAGAGUAAUGGAGGGGGAACCGGAAUUCUCGGUGUAGCAGUGAAAUGCGUAGAUAUCGAGAGGAACACUCGUGGCGAAGGCGGGUUCCUGGACAUUAACUGACGCUGAGGCACGAAGGCCAGGGGAGCGAAAGGGAUUAGAUACCCCGGUAGUC